UGAAGCACCACCAUGGGCUCCACUGUGAUCCCUAACACAAAACACAAAAAAAGGGUGUACAUUUUGCUUUGCUGAAGGAGAUGCUGGACAAAACCAGGUGCCAUCCUAGCUAUGCUAUGUGGAGGGAUUUGCUGGAGAGCAAAAGUCUCUUCUGGCUUGCCAUGGUUGUGUAACUCUCUUCAUUUCAUUUACAUGGUAUGAAAAAGGCCUUAUCAUCUCUGCACUGAGAGCAAAGGAACAGAGAGCAGCUGCAAUAAUGCUACAUGUGAAGUAUGCUCAGUGGAGAUACAUCAGUGGGCAGAGCAUAGGUAAGUCAAUCAAAAGUUUAAAACAAUUGUAAUUUACUGUGAGGAGGACAUAUCACCUGCCUGACAUAAAUCAGGCUUUGCAGGCGACGGGAAGCAGUUCAAGCUAUAUGUCAAUUUGCUGCCAUGCUUUCCUAUGGAGACUGUCACCCAAGAAGCCAUCCUGAGUUUGCGGAGAGAGCAAGCAGCUGCC
rnacentral:lncRNA from 14 species